rnacentral:lncRNA from 1 species
AUUGCAUGCUCUUUUCGACCAGACUCGUCAUGCUGACCCAGUACACACCUCAUAGACCCCUCGAGGGAUGUAGAGUACAAAAUUAAUGACCGUCUCUCCAUAGGAAGCAUCAGAAUCAGAGGUUUCUGCAACUUAUUCUUUUAUCUUUCAAUGCCCCUUGGCAAUCAAUAUCCACCUGACCGUUUGCUCCCUUUUCAACAGUUUGAAUGGGUUCCCACGUGGCUGUCAGAUGAGAUAUGAACCGUGACAUGCAAUUCAAUCUAUCUAAGAAACCACGAACCUUUUUUCUGUUUUCGGUUCAGGCAUUUCUUGUAUUGCUUUUUUCCUUUUCUUUUCU